AUCCAAGGUGAUUCCCUCUCCUAGGGGCUUGUUUGUGCUCCUCCUUAGGAACGUAGCAACUUGGAAUAAAAUCUGGCAAGCCUCAGGUCUUUGUGGGAGAGGGGAUGUUUAUUUCCUCUACCUGCCUUUGGCUGCCUACAUGC
ensembl:snoRNA